rnacentral:rRNA from 1 species
CAGUCGCCGCGGGAACACGUAGGUGGCAAGCGUUGUCCGGAAUUAUUGGGCGUAAAGGGCUCGCAGGCGGUUUCUUAAGUCUGAUGUGAAAGCCCCCGGCUCAACCGGGGAGGGUCAUUGGAAACUGGGAAACUUGAGUGCAGAAGAGGAGAGUGGAAUUCCACGUGUAGCGGCGAAAUGCGUAGAGAUGUGGAGGAACACCAGUGGCGAAGGCGACUCUCUGGUCUGUAACUGACGCUGAGGAGCGAGAGCGUGGGGAGCGAACAGGAUUAGAUACCCCCGUAGUCCCUGUCUCUUAUAC